rnacentral:misc_RNA from 1 species
CCACCCUCGGGCCCUGCCCGGUGUUGGGGGCCUGCGCCCGCGCAGCCCCCGAAAGACAGUGGCGGACUCGUCUGGUCCCGAGCGUAGUAGCAACACCUCGCUCCGGGCGCUCCAGGCGUGCACGGCCAGAAGCCGCGUCCCCCCCCAGCGGGAGGGCGCACUCUUCUAAGG